rnacentral:rRNA from 1 species
GACGAACGCUGGCGGCGUGCUUAACACAUGCAAGUCGAACGGAAAGGCCCUGCUUUUGUGGGGUGCUCGAGUGGCGAACGGGUGAGUAACACGUGAGUAACCUGCCCUUGACUUUGGGAUAACUUCAGGAAACUGGGGCUAAUACCGGAUAGGAGCUCCUGCUGUAUGGUGGGGGUUGGAAAGUUUCGGCGGUUGGGGAUGGACUCGCGGCUUAUCAGCUUGUUGGGGGGGUAGUGGCGUACCAAGGCUUUGACGGGUAGCCGGGCUGGGAGGGUGACCGGCCUAAUUGGGAAUGAGAUACGGCGCAGACUCCUCCGGGAGGCAGCAGUGGGGAAUAUGGCACAAUAGGAGGAAGCCUGAUGCGGCAACGCCGCGUGGGGGGUGAGGGCCUUCCGAUUGUAAUCCGCUUUCGCCUGUGACGAAGCGUGAGUGACGGUAAUGGGUAAAGAAGCACCGGCUAACUACGUG